rnacentral:rRNA from 1 species
AGUGAACGCUGGCGGUAGGCCUAACACAUGCAAGUCGAACGGCAGCACAGUAAGAGCUUGCUCUUACGGGUGGCGAGUGGCGGACGGGUGAGGAAUACAUCGGAGUCUACUUUUUCGUGGGGGAUAACGUAGGGAAACUUACGCUAAUACCGCAUACGACCUACGGGUGAAAGCAGGGGAUCUUCGGACCUUGCGCGAUUGAAUGAGCCGAUGUCGGAUUAGCUAGUUGGCGGGGUAAAGGCCCACCAAGGCGACGAUCCGUAGCUGGUCUGAGAGGAUGAUCAGCACACCGGGACCUGGGACACGUUCAAGCCCCCUACGGGAGGCAGAGGUGGGAAAUUUGGGCCAUUGGGGGCAAGCCUGUCCCAGCCAUCCCGCUUGGGUGAAGAAGGCCUUCGGGUUGUAAAGCCUUUUUGUUGGGAAAGAAAAGAAGCAGGUUAAUACCCCGCUGUUCUGCCGGUACCCAAAGAAUAGGCACCGGCUACUUUCUG